CGUCUCAUUAUUUCUACUUGUUUCUGCAAAGUGAGGAAGCUGGCAAUCUCAGUGUAAUUUAACUGACAACUAUGUCUGGUUUUUGCAGAUGAUGAGGAAGAAUAUGAGGAAGCUGGCGGUGGUAACCGACUUUUGGGAUUUAUGUUUGGUAAUGUUGACUACUCUGGUGAUCUCGAUGUUGACUACCUUGACGAGGUGAUUUGCUCCUUUCUCCCUAUGUAAUUUGACUCUUAUAUAAUAUGCUGUGAGACCCCAAAUUAAUAUGUUAGUAUUGGUACUAAAGUGUCUCCAAGUAGCAGUGGAGCUUAACCGGAUAAUUAUUUGCUGGGAUUUCAGCAUAAGCAACUCCAUUAUACCUUUACAUGGGCCAUGUUUUCUAUUUUAAUGUGGAAAGUGGUCAGCCUGAGGUUGGGCAUUGAUUGAGGGUGAUGAAGUGUUCAAGCUCCCGUUCACUUAUUUUAGUUGUCGCUAGGAGCAAAACCUAAGGAAUACUCGCUUGAAAUCCAGUACAAAAUUUUGGGAGGACCAUGAAGGUUAACAGUUUUUCCCAAGGGAAAACCUUUUUCUAAUUAAAAGCACACACUCCUGCUUCCAAAAUAUUUUGUGCCUAUGCUGCCUGCCCCAAAAUUAAGUUGCAAAUUGUAUAGGGUCAAAUGUUUUUGUGAAGAAAAACGUAGUGUGAAUUAAGUUGGAAAUUGUAUAGGGUCAAAUGCCCCAAUGGUGCAGUGUGAGAGGUUGACUGUGGUGAGGCUGAUGAGAGGUAGAGGUAGGCAAAGGAAGUAUUGGGGAUAGGUGAUUCGAUUGGACAUGACACACCUGCAGCUUACCGAGGAUACUGACCCUAGUUAGGAGGUUAUGGAGGUCGAGGAUUAGGGUAGAAGAUUAGUAUGUAGUUGGGCGUUGUUUAGCUUCUUUAUCAGUGUUAUAAUUAUAACUAUUAUGAUUAUUAUUACUCUCCUACUGGAUCAUUCUUUUUUAUUAUUACAUGUUAUUUCAUUUGCUUCAGUUAUUGUAAUACUAAUGUUGGUACUGUUCUUCUCUCCAUUAUUUCCUUUUAGAACCCGCUUUGAUAUGCUAUGAUGUGAUUUACUUGAGCCGAGGGUCUAUCGUAAACAACCUGUCUACCUUUACAAGGUAGGGGUAAGGUCUGUGUACACACCACCCUUUUCAGACCCCACUAGUGGGUUUACUCUGGGUAUGUUGUAAAAGAAUGCAAUCAAACAUGGUAUUACUUAUGCAAGAAGUUAUACAUGGAUAACUUACCUCCUAACCAACUACCAAACGACCCCUAAGUGUAGUAAUUCUUUCAAUAAGAACAGUUGCAACAAGAGCCAGAUGUUUCCUGUAGCUAAUAUCUUAACAAUCUCAUCCAAGGGAGGAUGCUAGCAGGGUUUAUCACCUAUUUGUGGAAGUAUCGUUCAUUUCAUUUUCAUGCUCCACAAUUUUACUUUCAGAUCUCGCAUGUUGUGUUGUUUGAGCUUCUCGUGGUGUCAUCUUUGCUUAUCAAGAGGUCAAAAUCUUAUGGAAAUUAUGUUUUUCAGGAUGCCAAGGAGCAUCUUGCUGCUUUAGCUGACAAGCUUGGUCCGUCUCUGACAGAGAUAGAUGUAUGUAACAGAACUCUUUUGUCUCUAUAAUUUGGAAUUAUAUCUUCUGAGAAGUGUAGUCCCAAUCUUUUAUCACUAUGAUUUUAUUUGGUAUUGUAUUUUGGAUGAGGUACUACAAAUAUGAAUGAUUGUUACCCAAUUUCUACCUGAUUAGGUUUGGUGCUAAUAAUUUCUCCAUGUCUGUUUCCCUUGGAUGUUCAGUUGUCAGUGAAGUCCCCACAAGAAUCUGCAGAUGCUGCUGAACAAGGUACAUGUUUUUCCAUGAAUGCCCUCUCAUGCAGUUUCUUUGAUACUUUCGUUGACAAUUCUUUUGUCCUUUUCUUUCGUCCUAUAAAAGUUCUCUUUUAUCACAAGUGAAAGCAUUCUUAAUUAGACAUUGUAAGCAUAGGUUUGAACCUGUAAUACAUUAUAGAAAAAGCCAGCAACAAUUUACGUGUUUGACAUUCUGAUAAUUCAUAUAACUGCAGUGAAUUGGGAAAUACUAGAAAUUAUUACUAAGUUGAUAUUCAUGGUUAGGCUAGAUGCUGAUAUUUGAAAUAGUUCCACCAAAUGGAGCUCCUAAGCAAUACUAACCUGCAGCUGACAUUCUUUUGUUUAACAGACUCUUUUUAUGUCUUUUGCAUGCCAGAAACUCUUACGUUUCUGCAUUUCUUCUUUGUGUUAUUAUAUCUGGACCUUGGUGUGUUAAAGCUCCAGUGGGCUUAUAGUUCUUUAUUCUGUUUUCUAAAUUAUUAUUCUUACAUUAAACACAACACAUGGUUCAGUGUUUCAUAGAGCUUACUCUGGGUUUUCAUCAUCAUUCUGAAGCCAUUAGAUUCAGUUCGACCCAUCUUUUCUUUCAGAAGUCAUUUCUCAUUACUACUCUUCCCUCUGCUUCAUUGAACACACAGAUUAUGAUGAGAAGGCUGAAGACGCUGUAGAUUAUGAGGACAUUGAUGAGCAAUAUGAAGGACCCGAGGUACAAACUGUUACUGAAGAGGACCUAUUAUUGCCGAAGAGGGAUUAUUUUUCAACAGAAAUCUCUCUAACUACUUUGGAGAAUCGUGAUUCUGUUUUUGAUGAUGAAAACUAUGAUGAGGAUGAUAAUGAAGAGAAGGAACAGGAGGUGGUAGAGAACACUGCUGAAGUUCAAUCUACUCCUGUAAAAGGUUAGUUUAAAAGCAUUGUUUUCUUGGGUACUGGUGUUUCGUAAAUGCUUUUAUAUUGUUACUCAGAAGUUUUGAUGACUGUCUACAAUCUUUAGAGUGUAACUUUACCUUUUGAUAUUUUAAUCUCUUCACUGAUUGCAACUACUAGAUUUAAAGGGCUGUUCCUCGUGUUAGUUUGUUACAAACCUCAGUUCUAUUACAGAAAGUGCUGCUCACCUAAAAUGAACUUGAAAGCCGACAUAACUCAGAGUCCCAUCUGUAAGGGGGCAGCAGAAAAUAAAACGAGAAUUGUGAAAGCAAGAUAUUAUCCUAGAACACAAGAUAAAAAAAAGUUGAUCCUUGAGAUAAGUCUUUGUGGUAGGUAUUUGUCAAACUCUUUUUCUGUGUCAAAUUUCAGUUUUCUGCUAGCAAUUUUUGGUGAACUAAAAUUGUUUGCAGCAGCUGUGAACAAGUCCAUGAGACAAAAUACUUUUUUUUUUGGUGGUGGGGGGGUCUUAUGAGGGAAAGAUCAUGGGGGCGUUAGAUGCCUUGACGCUAUGGCAGGGCUCUGAAUGAGCAGAUGGAUUUUGCAGCGGGAAGAGGCAGGGAGCUGCGGGUAGGAUGGACCGAAUGUGAAUAACAAAAGACAUGUUGCGUACUUUUUAUUUUGUUUUGCUUCAGCUUGUUUAUUUAGGGAAAAGGGACAAACUGCUCUUCAAACUGGUAUCACAUGGAACUAGUCGAGGCGAGCACAAGCUGGUCUGGACACCAUGUUUUUUUUUAACAAUCGCUCUCUGUUUGAAUUUGGUCCUGAAUCUGCCCUUAUUGUUGAAGUACUUGCUCAGGUUUUUGAGAAGGAAUACUUGCUCAGAUUUGCCUCUCAGAACUAACGAAAUUCACUUUUUCUUUUUCAAUCAUCUUUUUUUAUUUUCGGACCAAAUGUGUAUUUAACUUCUGUUUUCUAAAACUACCGGUGGAAAACAAACCAAAAAAAAGAAAAAAGAAAAAAGAAAAAAGGAGAUGCAACUUUUUUUCUUCCGAAAUAUACAUCAAAAGUAGAGCACUUUGUGUUUUGUGGUGGAUUAGUAUCUGUUAGCUUUGUAUUCCAUCUCAAAAAUUUCUGGACAACACUAUCAAAGAAUUCUGCUCCUGACUGUAUCCUUCCAUUGAAGAAAAAAACAGAUGUUUAGAUAUGAAAAUUUGAUUGCUUUCCAAGAUCUGCUGAGAUAUGAGGAAUUAAUUAAGGAUAGGGAGAUUACUGUCGGAGGAAAAGGAAUAAAUCAUGGAGUUACAUUAUUUCAGUUAAAUAUAUCUCUUUGCAUCUUCACGUUAGACCUAUUUGUCAUGUUCUGUUUGUAGGAGAGUACAACAAUGAAGCUGAAGUCAUUUUUCAUGGGAAUAAGGUUCCAGAAGAAGUUAUAUCCACAGAUGCUCUCGAAUCUAGUGAAGAUCUUCAAGAGGUUUGCCCUCUACAAAUUAAAAAGAAAAACUACUUAUCUUUUUGUGUUCUUUUUAUUCUGACUUGUAGCAUGAAGUGCAUGUCAUCUCUUUCUUUCUCACUUCUUGUGAAAUAGGUCAUCAAACAAUUGAUAUCUUGCGUCACUUUCUAUUUAUGAGCAAUCAAUGGCUUCUUGAGAUUUUCCUGAAAUAGCUAUUUGAGUAGUUCAUAAUCUUCCAUGACAAUAAUUUCUUUUAAUGCUUGAAGAUUGAUGAUGCUAGAUAAUGCAUUUUAUAAAUACCUUUGAUAUAUGUAUUUUUAAUGUUAGUUAAAAUCCUAUAAUUUCUGGGGGACCUCUCUUAGUAAUAUACAAAACUUUUAGUUUUACUUCUGUUUUUCUUUUCUUCACAGUUUAUCACUAUUGGGAAGUUGACAAAUAUUAAAGCACUCUCUUUUUUCUUUUCUUCCUGUCUAUUCCGCUGUAGAUCUGCGUUUAUUUGAAAGGAGUUCUGUUAAGUGUUCGAAAUAUUGUUCUCCUCUAUUAUGUACUUCUACUCUAUGCUUGGCAUAAGCUAACAACUGCAGAUAAGUUGUCUUUAUGGAGACUAUAAUUGUCUUAUUCUGUUGUCUACUUUAGAAUAACUCUUGUUUUCUAAACAGUGCUGCUUUUUAUGCUGGUUGUCAGGAAGAACCUCUUGCUUUGGAAGAGCCAGUUGAAAGUCAAAGCUCUCUGCCUCUACCUGUUCUUUGUGUCGAAGAUGGGGUGGCAAUUCUGAAGUUCUCUGAAAUUUUUGCCCUUCAUAAACCUCGGAAGAAAGCAGAGAAGAGGGAGCGACGUUGCUCUGUUCCCAAAGGUACCUUUUGCUAAUAAGAAAAAUCUCUUUCUUCAGUUCUGUUUGGUAGUAUUAGUACAGUUGAUGAGCCUUUCUGUAGCACAUUCUUGUAUAAACAGACAAAUACAAGGCCAUGGACACACUGGAUAUUGUUGAAGAAGAUGAAGUUAAAUUACUGAGAGGGUCCUAUGAAGAGUUUCCUUGGUUGAGGAUGACCCAUGUACAUCAUGAUAGUGCUUUAACGUUGCUGGAUAAUGAACCAGGAACAGUUCAAGGGACUGAUGACUUAAAGCCAAAAAUCGAGAAAAAGGAUUCUUGUUGUAGUGCUGAACCAAUGAAAGAAAAUCUAUCAAUGGAUCUUUCUGCUGAUUGGAGCUCACCCAUUUGUCCUGAGUUCUAUCCUCUUGACCAGCAAGACUGGGAGGAUAGAAUUAUUUGGGAUAAUUCUCCUCCAUUGAGUGAUAAUACUGCUGAGAGUUGUGAGAUUUCUGAACCUGAUUAUGAAGCAUUGACUGAUAAACAACUGGAUGUGGAGGCCGAGUCUCAAAGUUUACAGUCAGAAAAAGAAAUUGAACCCCAUGAAAAAGGUCAUAGCUCCUUUUUUUCUUGCAGUGUUUCUGUGGAGCCUUUUGGUUCAAAACAACCUUCAGGACACCUGGAUAUUUCAUUAUCAGAAGGAAGAUAUCACCCUCAGCUUUUGAGACUAGAGUCUCGCUUGAAUGCAGAUAGGCAAAGGAGCACAGAUACUCCGAAGGAUGAAGACACUGAUGAAAUCCUUAGCAGUGAUGCCUUAAGGCGAUUUAGCAAGCUUACAUUACAAAAUAGAGAUAUACUGGAGGAAUCUUGGGUGGACAACAUUAUUUGGGAACCAGAUCAACCCUUUCCGAAGCCAAAGCUCAUAUAUGAUCUUCAAGACGAACAAAUGCUUUUUGAAGUUCUGGAUAACAGGGACGGCCAACAGCUUAUGCUUCAUGCUGGAGCAAUGAUCACAACUGGUUUAGUGAAGCCCAGUAGUGGUGAUUCUGCCGAGUUAUAUGGCCUCAGUGGUUUAUCCGGGCGUUUCAAUAUUGCCAAUGACAAAUAUUAUUUGAACAGAAAGUCAACUCAGCAACUAAAAUCACAUUCAAAGAAACGCACUGCACAUGGUCUCAAAGUUCUGCACUCAAUACCAGCUCUUAAGCUGCAGACAAUGAAGGCUAAGCUAAGCAAGUAAGUCUUGUGUACUUCAUUUGACACUCUUAUACAAAUGGUUAAUUCUUCUCUAAUUUUUUUCUUUUUUGAUAUAGUAAUAACUUCAUUGAUGUGGCGGGAAAAAUUCCGGUAUUCAAAUGAUAGAAAAAUAUAGUUCUCUACAAGUAACACCCUAUCAUCUAUACCCCAUGGUGCACUAAACGUUUAUUCGGAACAAAAACAUGAAAAACAUGACCACAUCUGAAUGGCGGGAGUUCACACCCUUCGAAAGCUGUCUUGCUCUUUUCUUUUCGAAUUAUCUAUAGGUGCCAAAAGAGCAACACACCACUCCAUUUGCUUUGUCUGAUGGCGCAACCGAAAAUCACAUCUUAGCUAUCAGUGAUAUUGACCACUGUAAUUUGCACAAAUUCAGCAGUGUCCACCAUAACUGUCUUACGACUUGGCAAUGCAACUAUAGAUAUUCCAUGUCCCUUCCAAAUAUUUACAUAUUUAAGCAACGGACUUGUGUGAUCUUCUUUCUCUACAAGUUUUCUGCUGUGAGAUUAGCCUCCUUUGCUGCAGACAAGUGAACAAUCAUACUUUACUUGAAACAUUGGGUGUCUUACCGAUGCAUAUGGGCAUUCUACUUCCUCUCCCUUUAGUAAAUGAUGAUUGACUGACCAAGAAGAUUCCACUUACCUUUCUUUUUCAUUUCCAAGAAGAUUUCUGUGAUGUCAUACUUAUAGAGUAGGGGUGAUAAAUACUGCCCAAACUCAUUUGACCCGCCCAACCCGUCCAUAAUCAGUUGGGCAUGGGCUAUGUUUAGGCAGGACCCAUCUUAACCCAUGACAAAAGCUAGCCCAAAGUUAACCCAUUAAACAACCCAAACUCAACCCAUCACUUUUCAGGCUUAUUUGCGUGUUUUAUAGCCAUAAGUGACUGCUUUUGCAGUUCAAUGAACAUCUUUGGACUGUAUUUACUUAUCAGGACUUAAGCAACCCAGGGAAAAAACAGUUUUUUAUUGCAUCAGUCUCUAUGGACUUAGGGAUUAGCAUCAUAAGUGCCAUACUGCCAUCAGUGUUUUGUUAGACUACCUAAUGACCUCUAUUAACAAGAUUCGGAGGUGUGUUUUCUUGGAUUUAUCAUAUGUAUUGGUUGAUUGCUUCGUUUUUAAUGUUUGUUGAUGUGAUUUAUUCCUCUUUGCAGUAAAGACAUUGCAAAUUUUCAUCGGCCAAGAGCUUUAUGGCAUCCCCAUGACAAUGAGGUGGUACUUAAGGAACAGAGAAAGUUGCCUACACAAGGGCCAAUGAAAAUCAUAUUGAAAAGCUUGGGUGGCAAAGGAAGUAAACUUCAUGUGGCAGCAGAGGAGACCAUUUCUUCCCUUAAGUCAAAGGCAUCCAAGAAGCUUGGUUUGUAAUUUUCCCUAUCCUUUUAGUUCCUAAACUUCACUUAUAUUAAAUCUAUUUAGUACCUUCAUAUCCCAGCUAUUACUAACUUUCACCAUGUUAUUUGUCUAUAGAUUUCAAACUGUCUGAGCCAGUGAAGAUAAUUUACUGUGGGAAGGAGCUUGAAGAUGAUAAAUCUCUUUCUGCCCAAAAUGUGCCACCAAACUCUGUGCUGCAUCUUGUUCGUACCAGGAUACAUUUGUUGCCUAGGGCACAAAAGCUUCCUGGUGAGAACAAGUCCCUGCGUCCUCCUGGUGCAUUUAAAAAAAAAUCUGAUCUUUCCGCAAAAGAUGGCCAUGUUUUCCUAAUGGAGUAAGUAAACCCAAAGAUUUAUUGGGUAUUUUCUAUAGAUAUUUUGAUGGCCUUUCUUCUUUGAUUAGUUCACGCUCAAUAUGGAUAGAUACCCUAUACCUGUUAAAUUGCAAGUAGUUUUUCUCUUCUGGUGGAUGCUCCAUCUUUUUGUGGUUUUGUGUCGCCUUGUGGCAUUCACUUGACCAUUGGCUUGUAGAUACCUGGGGCACACUCAUCUUGAAACAUAUUUGUGACAAGGAUAGCGACACAAUGACAGGUUGUUUACACAACCAUCUGUAUGUCAAAAAUGUUGAAAUUGCUACCCCUAGGGUAAUCUGUUGUGCUGAUUGUUGGUUGUUAAGGGACUAGUCUAAAUGAUUCACACUUAUAACUCUUUACCCACUAAUCUUAUAGAUGUAUAUAUGCUUCUCCAGGUUAUUCCCAGACUUAGGUUUGCUUUGGUGAAACCUGAAUCUUAAUGUGAGCAUGAUUGUUUAAGUUUAUCAUUGAAGACAUAAGAAGUAGAGUUUCAACAAAAGAGUGGUUUAUAGACAGAAAGUUGAGGCUGUGAGACACGACCAGUUGCAUGGCUUGUGAAUGCUACAGAUAUCCUCUCCCAUUUUCUUUCGAUAAACUAUAGUUUUUGCUUUAUUUUCAGUGUACGGACUUUAAGAGUUGUGGUACCUCAUUGUCCAUCAUUACUCUGUUUCCCUAAAAUUGGAUAGCUGUCAGUCAUGUGAAAACAUGCCAUGAAAUUUCAAUAGCUAUUACAGGGAUGACCCGUUUAUACAAAGAAACAUUAAAACCACAGAGUAGCAGUCCUAUUUUGAACCUUUCAAAGCAGAUAAAUGAGGAGAAAAACGAGCCUCGAUGGCCUGUACAAACACUCACACAUCUCGUAUCGUUAUAGAUGGUCCGGGUAUCUCGAAGAAGAUGUUUUGAGCAGGUGCCUAGUAGGAAAUUUCGAUGAUGCCAAAGAGUUUACUAUUCUCUCAGAAUUUGUAUCUGGACCAUCAAUAACUGGAACACGAUACUAGGGAUGUAAAUGUAUGAGAUGCACGAAUCAAAAUUCCUCUUUGAAUUUCCUUCCAGGAAAAUGGCAGAACACAUCAAGAUGGGAGAAUGGAGGUAGACAAAUAACUUGUUGAGUCUUCAAUGGUAAUCGCUGGAAGCUGGGUGUCUUCCUGCAACUGUGAAACUGGGUGGAGUUUGGGUAAGAAUAUUGGGAAUAGCUUCAGUUAUAUGGGCUCAAAAAAUUUCCAAAUCUAUUGAAGAUAAAUGUGGUGGCUGGUUUGAGACAGAUGAGGAGACAACCUUGAGAAAUCAUCUAAAAUGGGCUCGGAUCAAAGUGAAGGGACCUUCUGAUCAAAUUUCGAAACAGAAGUGGAGUAAAUGGAGUAAUUUUCACCCUCCCCAUACCACACUUGUAGGACCUCACUGGGUAUGUAGAUGUUGUAGUGUGGAAAUCAAUAAGAUCUUAGUGGUCAAUUUUUAUCAACAAUACUAGCAUCAAGGUUGGUGAUGGAGCAAAGAAAUCUUUCUGGAGUUAUGAUUGGAUUGGCAAUGGAUCCCUUAAAGAAAUGUUUCCAGAUAUUUAUAAUUUGGUGCAACAACCUCAAGCAUCUGUUGCUGAGGUUUGCAGUCUAGAAGGUUGAAAUUUGAACUUCAGAAGAUAUCUUAAUGAUUGGGAGGUUGUUAAAAUGAUUGACUUCUACAGACUCUUGGAUGGUUUUAAAGGAAAUGUGAAGAAAGUGGGCAAAUUGAUUUGGAAAGGGGGCAGCAAAGGUAUCUUCACUGUGAAAUCAGCAUAUGGUAUACUGAAGAAGUCUGAACAACAACAUUUUGGGACAUGGAACUGGAAGCACAUUUUGAAGGUGAACAUACCACUCAAAGUGGCAUGUUUCUGUUGGCUUGUAAGGAGGCUGUGCUAACACAUGAUAUGCUGAUUAAGGGAGGGAUGCAAUUGUGUUCUAGAUGUUUUCUAUGUGGGAAAGAAAUGAAACAAAUAGCCAUCUAUUUAUCCAUUGCAAAGUUACCAGUACUUUGUGACAGGUUUUCCUGGUAUGAAAGGACUUAGAUGGAUAAUGCCUAGGAAAACUGCUGAGUUGUUAGCAUGCUCGAAUGACCCAGGCAAUUUUGAGAGGCAGAAGAGAUGACGGAGAAUUAUUUCUGCAGGCAUCUGGUGGACAACAUGGAGAGAAUAGAAUGCAAGUUGUUUUGAAGAUGUAGGCAUGUAGCUAACACAGAACAGAAGAUUAAAAUGAAUUACCCUUCGGAGUGGCCCAGUGGUUUGGGCUUGGGACUUCUAUGUUGGAGGUCUCAAGUUCGAAACCCCUUGCCAGCGAAAGCAAGGGGUUUGCCUUCGGGGUCGAGCUCGUCGCACCAGGCUUGCCUAGUGCGGGUUACCUCUCCUAUGUGGUUUGCGAGCUAUUGCAUAGGAGCGGGGGUUUUACCCUGUGCGCACCCAAAUGGUAGCGGCUGCGGGUUUCCCUUGUCAUCAAAAAAAAAAAUUAAAAAAAAUGAAUUUUAUGUUUUAAUUUCAUUUUGGUGUAGAAAGGCCCUAGUAGAAAAUGUAGAUUCUGUAGUUGACAUUAUUGGGUCAUUGUAACUAGUUCAGGAAUUGGCCUUUUGUUUUUUGGAGGUUCCUGUAACUAUGUUUCUCUUAACACAGUCUGAGGGAUACUCUUUUGAUAAUAUAAAAUAUGUUACCUUCAUAAAAAGAAGAAGAGAAUAACAGUGGGUAAUGAGUUUGUUGUGAGAAAUUAAUAAUAUACAGGUGUCAUUGCUUUGGCAGGACGGUAAUAAGUUUGUUGUGAGAAAUUAAUAUUAUACAGGUGCCAUUGCUAUGGGCCUAUGGCAGGAGUUCUAAUAGAGGCACUAUCAUUGUAGUGACACCGUGGACCAAUGUAAUAACAAUUAUGCUGGUAUUUGAUUAGAGAGGAUGGUCAUAUUGUGGAUAUUGAAUGCAAGAUUGAUUGAUUUUUCUGGGGCCGUAGUUUCAUUCUUGUGGUAAAAGUGCAACACACGAUGUGUUGAAUAGGCGCAUAUCACUAGUUCGAACCUUGUCGUAGAAAAGGCUUGGUAUUUAAGUAAAGUGUAGAGGGACUGACCCAUCAUCCGCCAAGUUUAGAACUGAGCACUACCUGGUCCAUGGGGAUUUCUCGUUUAUUAAAUAGAAGUAACUGGUUGUCUGAUUAUCAUCAUCAUCUAAAUGUAGGAAUUUUAAUUUUUACCAUGAUAAGGAUGAUCUGAUGAGACACUCAUUUUUGUACUGAUAAACAUCCAGCACUCUCUAGGUGCUGUGAUAGAUGAAUAAUAUGCCUUUGCUUAUAAAAAGAAAAGUGAUCUAUGUCAAAGUUGAGUAGGUCUGUUGCAUUGAUUAAGUGGAGAUUCGUGUCGCACAUAACUAGUUUAUUGGUAUGAAUUUUUUGAAGUGCUUUUUCUUGUUUCUUGUUGUAAUGGAAAUUCAAAAUAUCCGAGUAGGAUACUAAAGAAUUUUACUUUCUGAGAUGUAACUGCAGCCAAUUGUUUUCCCUGUGAAUUGUGCAAAUAGCAUCUUAAAUGCUAUUUGUGAUCAAAAUUGCCCACGCACCAUAUGCUAAGCACUGGGCGUGAGGUGGGGUGUUAAUGACAAAAGUUCCACAUUGGUGGUUAGUGAUAUGAUUGGAUUCCUUAUAAGGCUUGGGCAAUCCUCCUCCCUUUGAGCUAGCUUUUGAGGUGUGAGUUAGGCCCAAUACCUAAUUUAACAAUAUAGAGGUGGAUAUAUGAAGCAUUAAAAGAUCCUUUUUCUUUCAUCUAUAUAUAUAUUUAUUUUUUUUGAGAAGGUAACAACUUGUAUUCUAUUUCCACAAAAACAGAAAACUUGCCACGACAAGUUACAGGUUUCCUAAUUACAAUUGAGGAGGAGUAUCUAGAAGAUCUUCAACCCUUUUAACAAAAAUUUACAAUGAUCCUAAGACAUCCAUACUUGAUUCUAGAUCUUCCCUAUACUCCUGUUUAACACCAAAAAUGAAACAAAACUAAGCACUUCAUCUUCAUCUUCUGGAUAUUGUUGCUCUUGUUCAUCAUCUAUAUUUUUGGUGCCAAGGUGUACGACCCCCUUUUGUAUAGCAGUUGGAUAGAUUUGACAGAUGAGCACUCCAUAAAAACAUCCAUACAUAUUUUUGUGACCACCUUGGUGUUAUUGAUGAAUAAAAUUCUUUUUUGUUUCAAUCUAAAUUUUAGGUGUGAGUAGAUCCCUUUUUGUAUAACAAUUGGAUAGAUUUUAUAAUGUAGCACUCUAUGCAAUCACAUGGUACAUAUUUUCGUCACCACCUUGUUGUGUUUCUAAUGAAACCUUUUGAUUUAAAAUAUUGAAAAAGAAUUUCAUCACUUCUUUUCAAGUAUAUACAACUUUAUGAUGUUUUUCCUUAGUCUGCUGCUCAACACUUUUGUCUGCUCUUCUACUUGCAGAUACUGUGAGGAGAGACCUUUGCUCCUUGGAAAUGUUGGAAUGGGUGCAAGAUUGUGUACUUACUACCAAAAAUUAUCUCCAAAUGAUCAACAAGGCACCUUGAUGCGCAAUGGAAAUACUGGAUUGGGGAGUGUACUCACACUUGAUCAUUCUGAUAAAUCCCCCUUCCUUGGGGAUAUAAAACCUGGUUGCAGCCAGUCAUCUCUUGAAACAAAUAUGUAUAGGGCACCGAUUUUUCAGCAGAAGGUCUCAUCAACUGACUAUUUGUUGGUUCGCUCAACAAAGGGUAAGCUGUCCAUAAGGCGGAUAGACAGGAUUGAUGUUGUAGGGCAACAGGUUAUCUACUAUCCUUAACUUGGCUCAUCGGAGUACUUACUUGAUCACUCUAUGCAAAUUUUAUGUUAUCAUUUUCUGAUGAACUUUUUGCUAAAAUAUUGAUUGUUGUAGUAGACUUUAUUGAACCAUGGUAUCAUGAAAAUUUCUGGGUUCAUGUUAUUAUGUUUUUGCCAGUAUGGAACCUAAAGCAAUGUGCUGUUGCAUAAUAAGGUUGAGUUUUGAAAUUCGGAAGGCAUAUGAAUUGGUCCUCCUGUGAUGGGGAUGCCUUUGAUUUUCUCAUAUUUUUGCAUUGCCCACAUGCAUUCUUCUUGAAGCGUUCAACUUGUUUUGCUAGAUCUGGUUAGAAGUUCUCUUGAUGUUAAGUUGCCUGAAUUUUUUCAUUAGUGCGAUUGAAAACUACCUUUGAUGACCAGUUGCAUAUUCAAAAUACACACCAUUACUAUAUCUUUUAAUGAUCAUGCGAGAUGCGGGACCUGAGUGUCAGGUCAUGCCAAUGAGUUGAUGCUGAUCCAGGCCCUUGAUGGUGGAGUAUCAGAUUGUAGUUUGACAGAUCUGAAAUAAAUAAGCUAAAAUUGGAUGAUCCGGAAUUCGUGAAGGAAAAGGAAUCUGAAGCUACAUAUUUAUUGAACUCAUGUGCUUUUUUUUUUUUUUAUUCCUGGGGGAAAGUAGAGUUUGCUUUUCAUUAGUUGUGGUAACUACCUUUAUCUUUGGAUUUUUCUACUUUUUGGUCAUGGAGGUAUUGGCAUGACAUUCUCUCUAUAAACUCAAUUAACUUUCAACUCAAGUUGCCAAAUUUGCAAGUGUUUGAGGACAAUUCACUUAGUCCUCUAGAUUUUGCGAUCCUAUUCGAUAUUGGAUUUUUCUUUGUGCAGUAUGCUAAUACAUGCUUCUGUAACGUGCAAGCAUACUAUAGCUAUGUCGAUGUUUAUACCUGAAGAGGAUAACCAUGUUUCUUUAAUGUGCAAGCAUUCUAUAUCUAUGUCGAAAUCUUAUGCUUGAAGAGGAUGAUUAAUAUGAAUAUUUUAUGACUAAUCUGUUCGUUAUUGCUUCUGUAUGAAUAUGUGGUGGAUCUAUUUCCUUGUUUAAUCUGCCUUUCCCUGUUAUCUUUGAAGGAGCCUCACAUGGAGGUAAUCUCUCCUGGAUCAAAAGGUGUUCAGACCUACAUAAUGAACAGACUAUUGGUGUAUAUGUAUCGUGAAUUUCGAGCUAUUGAAAAGCGCGGUUCCCGUCCUUUCAUCCGCGCAGAUGAGCUGUCCGCACAGUUCCCUAGUUUGUCAGAGGCCUUUCUUAGGAAAAGACUCAAGCAUUGUGCUGAUUUGCAGGUACUUUUGUGAAACAUCAUUCAAUUCCUGGGUAAAUUCUUUAGUACAGGCAUUAGAGGGAAAUAAUUUAUUAAAACUCGUCUUUGUGGCACUUCGUGUGCUCCUUCCCCUUACGUGUCUGGUAAGUAACUUGGGUGCUGACAUGAUGCAGAGAAGAUCAAAUGGACAGUUCCAAUGGGUUAUGAGGUUCAAUUUUCGGAUACCAUCCGAGGAGGAAUUGAGGAGGCUGGUUUCACCGGAAAGUGUGAGUUCUUUCAAAAGAUCCUUGUUUUAAAUUUCCCUCUCAUCUCCUCCUCCACCCCCCUGAAAAGAUCUCCCUCUCUCCAGUUUAAAAAAUAUUCUUUAAUUGAUGCAUUAAGAGAUGUCGUGCACUUGUCAAAAUAACUUGGGUACAAAUAACACUUUCUUAAAGCUUCAUCUUUCGAUUAUGAUGGAGUUUUCCACUUUAGCACAUUUGGUAUUGGGAGGAGGCUUAAUCUUCAAAUGCGCAUUCAAAUUCAGACGUCUUCAUCUGUAUUAUAUAGUUUCUUUUGAUGAAGUAAUGUUUCAAGGAGAUGCAAAGUCACUGGUGGCUAGUUACCAAAGAACAAAAGAGUAGGAGAACAUUGUUUACCCCAAAUACAAUGUCUCAAUCAAGAACUAAAGUGCUAAUAAAAUCCAAAAGCUGUACUAAAUUAGUUAUUGGGAACAAGAGUGUCCAACAAAAGAGAUCUAAACAUUUAGCUUAAGAGAAUGAUUUGGAGUUGAAAUGCCAUCAAAACACCUUCUGUUUUUCUCUUUCCAAAGGCUCCAAAAAAUAGCAGCAGGCAUCAUCAACCAGGUCUUCUUGAUGGUCUUAUCAACUUUCCAAUGACUCCAACUCACAUAUGCCUCUCUCAGAUUCUGAGGCAUUACCCAAUUUAAUCCAAAAAUGCUGAAAAACAAGCUCCAAAGGCCAAAAGCUUCUGGACAAUGCAGGAAAGUUGGUUGACUGUUUCCUUUUGACAAUUGCAAAGAUGACAUCUGUUAACCAGUUGUGAUAUCCUUUCCUGUUUAGGUUAUCUAUAGUACGGCUGGCAUUAAUGAGGGCUAACCAACUGAAGCACAUGAUCUUAAUAGGUAGUGUCCUCCAAAUCAAUUUCCAGGGCCAUGAGUCAAUAACCUGAUCUUGGUUUCCAAGCUGUCUAUAGCAUUCUUUAACAGAAUUAUACUAAAAGCAUGAAGGAACUUAGAAAUGUUGAUUGAACUUUUUGCCCUUCAAUGAAAGACUCUACAAUUAAAUUUAUAGCUAUUAAAUCUUUACAUAUUUGUAAUAGGUAAGAACUCCUAAUAUUUGGUACUUUAAAAUUGACUAAACUUUCGUUCUUAAAUUUUCCUUUAUUUGAACUAUAUUUAAACUUAUUAUUUUUAAAUGUAACUUUAACAAUAGUCACUAAGCUAGAUUUAAUAUAACAUACAUAAGGCCUAAAUCAUGCUGCUCCCCACUCAAUUCACAGUCACAAGGGGCCGGAAGGACUUCUAGUCUAUUAGAAUCCUAUAUCUUUAGUUCAUUUCAUAUAUAACUAGGACGAGGCAAUAUCUGAUAUCACAUAUACAUUUCUUCCAUAACAUAAACCAAGCAUUCAUUAAAGACCUAGAACAUAAUUCAUCAAGAAUGGUAUAAGUUGUUUUUCUUGUUGAGUAGUUCAAAUUGCGGGACUCUGUUGCAAUAAGAAAUUUAAAAUUCAUUUCCUUUCAUUUUCAUAUCUGACAAAGUGGGUAGAGAUUGUGACUUCUGAAAGUUUUUGACCUUGGUGCAAACUAGGAUUCAAAUGUUAUUUUCCGAGAAUGUAGUAAUGUUUUUCGCUAUACUGAUAUUGCCCCAAUAUGGUCUCUUCUUCUCUACCGUUUCACGUUGACUAUGUUAUUGGGUUUUCAACCAUUUAUCAGAAAUUCUUUGUUUCGUGCUUGUCAUUUGAUUCAGGUAUGUGCAUAUGAAAGCAUGCAAGCUGGCCUGUAUAGGCUUAAGCGCCUAGGUAUUACGCGGCUUACUCAUCCUACAGGUCUAUCAGCUGCAAUGAACCAGCUCCCAGAUGAAGCGAUUGCUUUAGCUGCUGCAUCACAUAUUGAAAGGGAACUUCUAAUCACACCUUGGAACUUGAGUAGCAACUUUGUUGCCUGUACAAACCAGGUAGAUCAUACUUGCAUCAUUUAUCUUGUAGUCUAGUCUUCAACAAAAUGUUCGUUUCUUUUUAUAUUGUGUAUUCCAGGAAAGUGUGGUAUGAGAAAACACAACCCAAUAAAAUUCCGAAUUCUGUAAUAUUUCUCAGAAACUAUGUUUGGUCAUUCUUGUUCUUGUAUGGUCACUUCUUUAAUCUUCUUAACCUUUUAUCUGGUCAUCAGAGAUGCAUUGACAUGGCAGCCUUGAUGUCUUUAAAUAGUUCAGAACUUUCUGUUGCCUUGAUAGAGUAUAAGGAACAUUACUUUUAUCAUUAAAAAAGUAUAAUAAGUAUUCCUAUUGUAACAUAUACUGUUUCAUCGAGUUAGUGCUGUUAUAUAUGCAUACACAUUGUUUUCUGUAAUUCAUAGCAUUCUAGCUAGUCCUGAAACUUGAUCUUUCUUGAUACUUCUCUGUAGGACAGAGAAAAUAUUGAGCGUCUGGAAAUUACUGGUGUUGGUGAUCCAUCUGGUCGGGGAUUAGGGUUCAGUUAUGUACGCACCACUCCUAAGGCACCAAUACCAAAUGCAAUCUCCAAGAAAAAAGCAGUUGUUGCCAAAGGGUCAACAGUAACAGGCACUGAUGCAGACCUACGAAGACUGAGCAUGGAAGCUGCACGCGAGGUGAGUAGAUCAGGAUAGUAUUAGGAUUAGAUUUUAAAAACUUCCAGCUUCUUGACUUACUUGGCAUCAAAUGCGGUUAGUUAAAGCUAAAUUGGCUUUUAUAUCAUACAUAUGUUUCCAUUGCCAUAUAUGUGAACUAAUUGUUAUCAAUCUGGACCGACUGGUUCUUCUUUUGUUUUACUAUUCUAUGUGGUAAGUUGCGAGGAAAAUAAAUUCCCCUGAUUUGAUUUUGUAACCUGAAUGAAUAUACCCCUUAUGAAAGCUGAUUCAGAACAAAAUUAAUUCUGUUGGAAAUGUUUUUAUUUAGUUUACAGCCUAGUUGAUGGGUGUGUGAGUAGUUGAUUGCUUGUCCUAUGGCUCUGAUGUGCUCAUGUCCAGAUUGAACCCCAUUUCCCCUUCUCAUUCUUUUAUCUUGUGGCUAGUCGAAUGUGGUUUAUAGAUGAGUAGCCCAAUGGAUUUUAUCCUAUCAAUUCACAAGUAUGUGUUACUCAUUCACAAGUGUAUUUCCCUACAUUUUAGGUUCUUCUCAAGUUUAAUGUUCCAGAGGAGCAGAUUGCUAAACUAACAAGGUGGCACCGAAUUGCUAUGAUUCGCAAGCUUUCUAGCGAGCAAGCUGCAUCCGGUGUGAAAGUUGAUCCAACAACUAUAAGCAAAUAUGCUCGUGGCCAGCGCAUGUCCUUUUUGCAGCUGCAGCAGCAAACAAGAGAAAAAUGUCAGGAAAUCUGGGACCGACAAGUCCAAAAUCUUAGUGCAGUUGAUGGUGAAGAAAAUGAGAGUGACUCUGAAGUGAACAGCGACCUGGACUCAUUUGCUGGUGACUUGGAAAAUCUUCUUGACGCAGAGGACUUCGAGGAUGGUGAGGAGGGUAGUCAUGAGCCCAAACAUGAUAAUGUUGAUGGAGUCAAAGGACUCAAGAUGAGAAGACGCCCCUUUCAGGCUCAGGUGGAAGAGGAGAUCGAGGAUGAGGCAGCUGAAGCUGCAGAAUUAUGCCGCAUGCUCAUGGAUGGUAUAGAACAUGUAUAUAUAUGUGUAUAUAUUUAUUAUAUGUUGUUUCUAGUCCAUCCUUGUUAUCUUGAUGCUAUAAUUUGCAAGAUUGAGAAAAUUUAAGAAUUUGGUGUACCUUCUCUGUUGGUGCCCACUUCAAUGUUACUUUCUAUUUCUCCUGGAAAAUGGAGAUUUAGUUGGAGAAUUUUGGAGAGAAAAAUCAUAUUAGGUGGGUCCUUAUGCUGCUACUGGUUGGGUAGGGGUAAAGAUGGUGGAGUAUGUUGUAUCUUCAUGCCUGUGAGAUGGGAAUUUGUAUUGUCAAGAAUUGGGUUCUUUGUUGAUAUGUAUCAGCAUGGUCAAUGUAAAGAUAUGACACCUGGGCCUAACUCAACCCCAAAAGCUAGCUCAUGAGGGGAGGUUUGUCCAAGUCCAUAUAAGGAGACCAAAUUCUCAUCCCUCUACCGAUAUGAGAUUUCUUAACACUCCGCCGCACGCCCAGACCUCGGUUGGAGCAUGAACACUUAUAAAUGGGGGCCCAACAUCGGUGAACAACAAAUUGGGAUGGGGCCUGGCUCUGAUACCAUGUAAAGAUAUGACACCUGGGUCUAAACUCAACCCCAAAAGCUAGCUCAUGAGGGGAGGUUUGUCCAAGUUCAUAUAAGGAGACCAAAUUCCCAUCCCUUUACCGAUGUGGGACUUCUUAACAGUCAAUACUAAAAUCCUUUUUCACGUGAAGUUCACAAAUGAAGCAUCAAUGUUACUCCUGGCCUAGAGUUGAGUACUGUUUAAAAUUUUAUAGAAGUCUUGACAAGUUGUUAAGUUGCAUCUUAUCCUUGAAACUCUCACCAACUCAGAAUUAGAUUUGGUUAAGAAGAUUGUAGGAAAUAUGACCAAAUAGAGGUUGAUAUAUAAAUUGAUCCAAAGUGCACAUAAGAAAGCUGCCUACUCCCUUUUAUAGGUACAAGACAAGAAGUUUCCUUUAAGGUGGAUUGUAACCCUCUUCUUCAAUAGAAUAAUCUUACACAUAACAUCUUUCUUCAUGGUAGAAACCAUUUUAUGUGUUGCCUGCCAGCAAGUGCAGCCUAUUUUAAAAUAUGUUUCUUAUUUGGUAUUGUUUGUAUUUAACUACUAUCUUGCAGAUGAUGAAGCUGAUCGGAAGAAGAAAAAAAAGGACAAAGCCAUGGGAGAACAAGUUGGUUUCGUGCCAGAUAUAAGAUACAGGUUUAGUACUGAAAGCACUGAUCGGGGUAAAAAACCUCAGAUAUUUGCCAAGCCAAGCAUAAAGUGUGAUGGGCUAAAUGGGUUGGAUUUCAUUGGAGAUCAGAAGGAGGUUGUUUCCCUUUCUUCCUCAGUAAUUCUAUUGUGCCCCACUAAUAAAAAUAGGACAUUGUAGGCAUGUAAUUUAUAUGCCAACCAGGUGACACAAUUCUCUGAUUUUCUUUUUAGCUGCAGGCUGAAGGGUUUACUGCUAAAAGAACCCCAUCUAGCAAGGUGAAACCCAAGAAAAAGUUUGAUGUUCUGGACUCUGGAUUGUUUAAUAAGAAAGUUAAAAUACUAGGGGAGGGAAUAAAGGUAAAUGUCCCUACAUAGUUAUCUACAGCAUUUAGCUGCAUAUUUUGAAUUAGAAUAUAUCCUUUCCCAGUGUUUCUUGGUUCUUGUAAUAUGCGUGACUGAUGUGAUACUCCUCCUUGGACACAGCCCAUGAAAGAGAAGAAGUCAGCAAGAGACAGUUUUGUCUGUGGAGCCUGUGGUCAGGUUUGUGGUUAUAUUUGAAUAAUCAUCUUAUUCUUUCCAAAAAAGUUAUGAAGGCUAAUCAAUUGACUGGUCUUAUCAUACAGCUUGGUCACAUGAGAACUAAUAAGAAUUGUCCCAAGUAUGGGGAAGAUGUGGAGGCACGAGCAGAAAGCAUUGAUCUGGAAAAGACUACAGGAAAAUCUAUGGGUUCUACUGAUCUCUUGGAUCAGCCCCAGAUCUUCUCAAAGAAAGCCAUCCAAAAAAGUGGAACGAAGAAUGUGAUGGUCGAAGUUCAUGAGGAUGAUAAUUCCAGUUCAAAGGCCAAAGUUCUGAAGGUCAAAUGUGGUUCAACAGACAAACUUCCUGAUAAACCUACUCCUGCGACCUCACUUAAUUCUGACAUACCAGUGACUUCAGAUGCUGAAAUUGGAACUGUACCACCCCCCAUAAAAUUUAAUAAAAUUAAGUUUUCAAAUAAGAUGAGAGCUGAGGAUGAUUCCAAUGAAGCUCACAAGCCUUCCAUUCUGGUAAGGCCACCAACGGAGACUGCAGACUCACAUCGCAGCAAGAAAAUUGUAAUUAAGCAACUUAAGGACUCCACAAGUGUGGAUGAAGGAUUCUUGGAUGGAAGCAGUGGCAUGGAGUUCAGGAAGACAAAGAAAAUCAACGAAUUGUCGUACUUGGGGCAGCAAGAGAGGGAAUACUUCUAUGAAGAGACUUUAGGAAGGAAAAAAAUGGAUGAUAAACGAUUAUGGGAAGAGGAGGAGAGGAGGAGAAUUGCUGUGAGGCAGAGAGAAGAAAGAGCCCAGAUAUAUGAGCGACAGAAGGCAUUAGAAGAACAGGAGAAACUAGCGGCGAUUGAAAGCUAUCAAGACGCCAUAAGAAGAGAGAGGGAGGAAGAAGAACGUCUAAAGGAAAAAAAGAAGAAAAAGAAGAAGACUGAAAUGAGAGAUGAUUACUUGGAUGAUUUUCUUCCCAGAAGAAACGACAGAAGGAUACCAGAUCGAGACAGAUCGGUGAAGCGGAGACAAACUUUCGAGUCCGGAAGGCAUGCUAAAGAACAUGCACCGCCAACAAAGCGCCGAAGAGGGGGAGAGGUAACUAAAUCUAUUAUGCUUGUUUUUGUCUCAUCUUCUGCAGGUAAUAAUAGUGAUAGUCCAUUACUAUGGCCACAGAUGCCACAGAUCUAGAUCAUCUAAUCCUUAUUGCAUUUUGUGUUGCGUCCAAGUGGUCUAACUGACCUUUCUCUCAUGUUCUUAUUUGCUAAUUUGGUUGCAUGGUGGUGUUCAUAGAAUUUUCCAAUAAGAAAUUAAUAGUACUGGGUAAGAGAAUACUCGUCUAGCUACCAUCAUGGUGGGUGGAUGUUUCUAAAAAAAACUGAGACUCAUGCCUCCUUGUAUGUGAAAUAGAAAGGGAAUAAGAUAAAUGCCUACUUACUCUCAUAGGAAUAUAGAUCGAAUCUACUCUAGUAAGUGUUGUUUGACACAAUCAUUUAGUCAAACAAUAACAUACUGGUCUGAUUUUUCUGAUACGUCUGAUUGUCACAUCUUAAGCAAGAUACAUUCUCUGUAUGCAUAAUUCUGUCAUUAUUGGUCAAUUAGCUGCAGUUAGAAGUAGAACUGCAAGACUUUAGCAAGAAAACCUCUGAUCUUAUUUGGUCUGUUCUUUCUAAGAGUUGCGUACUUCUUUUAUAGUACCAAGGGGCAGUAGUGCCGUAGUCUUUUCAUUUAACUGAGAUGUGGUUGAAUUUGUUUGAAGGUUGGUUUGUCAAAUAUUUUAGAAGAAAUUGUUGAUACACUGAAGAACAAUGUGAACGUAUCAUACCUCUUCUUGAAACCAGUGACCCGAAAGGAAGCUCCAGAUUAUCACAAGUAUGUAAAGCGCCCUAUGGACCUAUCUACCAUCAAAGAGAAAGCCAGGAAACUGGAAUAUAAAAACCGCGGGCAAUUCAGGCAUGAUGUGGCACAGAUCACUAUCAAUGCACAUUUGUACAAUGAUGGGCGCAACCCAGGUAUUCCUCCCCUUGCGGAUCAGCUUCUAGAGAUUUGUGACUACUUGCUGGAAGAGAAUGAGUCCAUCUUAGCUGAAGCUGAAUCUGGUAUUGAGUGAUGAUACUUCAUAUUUGAACCUUGUUUCUGUUUGAUUUUAAGUUCCAUUAUGCAGCUUUCAUUGGUUACUCACAAUCUAGUGUCUAUUGUUCAGCGAUCUAAAGGAUAGAUCUUCUAGAUGUGUCAGUUGCAGCCACCCCAACAAAUGUAUCAGAUAAACAAGACGCGACUGAAGGGAUUGUAUCUUAACUGUAUAAUGAGAUUUAGUAGCUGAUGAUUCUGUGUAUCGACCAUUUUGUUUUACUCCAUGGUCAAGGCAACACGAUGAUGAGGUGUGGAGGAGAGAAUGAUUAGUGUAUCUUAAUUGUUGAGUGGGAGCUCAAUUAUGUGAAAUAUAUGUGCAGUUUGUGCGAAACAUUCUAGUUGUGUAAAUUAUAGCAAUUAUUCGGUUAUUCCUCAUAGUCCUCUGGGUUCUAGGUUGCCCCUUUCAGCUAUGUGAAUAGAAUGAAAUUUCAGCUAAUUAAUAGGAUUUUUUUUCUCAUAGUACAUCUUGCUCUUUCUUGUUGAGGACUUUUCAUCAUGGUGGCAUUUUCAUUAUGUACGCAAACCUUAUCUCUACAUUUGUGGAGGUAGAGAGACUAUUUUAAAAGAUCCUCGGCUCUUGUAUUAUGUACUACUAAUCAUGUAUCAAUGAUAUUUAUCUAG
rnacentral:lncRNA from 1 species